rnacentral:rRNA from 1 species
UACAGGGGGUGCAAACGUUGCUCGGAAUCAUUGGGCGUAAAGCGCGCGUAGGCGGCCCGGUAAGUCCGUUGUGAAAGUCAAAGGCUCAACCUUUGAACGCCGAUGGAUACUGCCGGGCUAGAGUCCGGAAGAGGCGAGUGGAAUUCCUGGUGUAGCGGUGGAAUGCGCAGAUAUCAGGAGGAACACCAAUAGCGAAGGCAGCUCGCUGGGACGGUACUGACGCUGAGGCGCGAAAGCGUGGGGAGCGAACAGG